CAGUAGCCGCGGUAAUACAGAGGGUGCGAGCGUUAAUCGGAUUUACUGGGCGUAAAGCGUGCGUAGGCGGCUUCUUAAGUCGGAUGUGAAAUCCCUGAGCUUAACUUAGGAAUUGCAUUCGAUACUGGGAAGCUAAAGUAUGGGAGAGGAUGGUAGAAUUCCAGGUGUAGCGGUGAAAUGCGUAGAGAUCUGGAGGAAUACCGAUGGCGAAGGCAGCCAUCUGGCCUAAUACUGACGCUGAGGUACGAAAGCAUGGGGAGCAAACAGGAUUAGAUACCCGGGUAGUCCUGUCUCUUAUACC
rnacentral:rRNA from 1 species